CCCAGAUAUUAUACGCAGAUGGUAAACCCCAGAUAUUAUACUGCAGAUGGUAAACCCUAGAUAUUAUACUGCAGAUGGUAAACCUUUAAACCCCAGAUAUUAUACUGCAGAUGGUAAACCCCAGAUAUUAUACCGCAGAUGGUAAACCUUAAACCCCAGAUAUUAUACUGCAGAUGGUAAACCCCAGAUAUUAUACUGCAGAUGGUAAACUCCAGAUAUUACACUGCAGAUGUUAAACCCCAGAUAUUAUACUGCAGAUGGUAAACUCCAGAUAUUACACUGCAGAUGGUAAACCCCAGAUAUUAUACUGCAGAUGGUAAACUCCAGAUAUUACACUGCAGAUGGUAAACUCCAGAUAUUACACUGCAGAUGGUAAACCCCAGAUAUUAUACUGCAGAUGGUAAACCCCAGAUAUUAUACUGCAGAUGGUAAACCCCAGAUAUUAUACUGCAGACGGUAAACCCCAGAUAUUAUACUGCAGAUGUUAAACCACAGAUAAACACUGAAACAAACAGACUUAAAGGCUGAAUCAUGUGUGUGUGUGUGUGUGUGUGUGAGAGACAUGUUCAAAUCAGGAAUCUUGUAAUGAAGUUUGUGUUCUGUGUUCCUCAAUGUCAACCUGUCAGACCCAUUCUAAUAGUGUUGGAGCUUGGGUGGUCGAUCCCCUUGACUCCCUUCCUCCCCCCUACCUCGCUCCUCUUACCCACUCCCUGUAGUCACAUGUCUGCCGUCUCCAGUCUCUCCAGAGCUGUGCACCAUCAGCAGUUCUCUUCCAGGGUCCAUUACCUCAGCACUGCCCUCAAUUUACACUUAUUACAAAUACUAGUCUGGGUUAAACCAGGUUCUCAGAAUCAAUGAUCCCUCGUCUAGCCUCUCCUCUCGCUCUCUCAUUCUCUCUCGCUCUCUCUCUCAUUCUCGCUCUCUCAUUCUCGCUCUCUCCAUCACUCUCUCUCUCUCUCUCUCAUUGUCUCUCGCUCUCGCUCUCUCUCAUUCUCUCUCUCUCAUUCUCUUUCCAUUUCUCUCUCUCUCUCUCUCUCUGAAUUCCGAUUUCUUUAUUGGCAUGGUGUAACAAUGUACAUAUUACGAAAGCGUACUUUGGAAAUUAAUUGAUUAAUUUACAAUAUUAACAUAAUUGAAAUAAUAAUAAUACAUUUGUCAACAGGACAAUCA
rnacentral:lncRNA from 1 species